rnacentral:rRNA from 1 species
GAUGAACGCUGGCGGCGUGCCUAAUACAUGCAAGUCGAGCGAACAGACGAGGAGCUUGCUCCUCUGACGUUAGCGGCGGACGGGUGAGUAACACGUGGAUAACCUACCUAUAUGACUGGGAUAAUUUCGGGAAACCGGAGCUAAUACCGGAUAAUAUAUUGAACCGCAUGGUCAAUAGUGAAAGACGGUUUUGCUGUCACUUAUAGAUGGAUCCUCGCCGCAUUAGCUAGGUGGUAAGGUAACGGCUUACCAAGGCGACGAUGCGUAGCCGACCUGAGAGGGUGGUCGGCCAGACUGGAACUGUGACACGGUCCAGUGUGCUACGGGAGGCAGCAGUAGGGAAUCGUGCGCAAUGGGCGAGAGCCUGACGGAGCAACGCCGAGUGAGUGAUGAAGGUCUUCGGAUCGGAAAACUCUGUUAUUAGGGAAGAACAAAUGUGUAAGUAACUAUGCACGUCUUGACGGUACCUAAGCAGAAAGCCACGGCUAACUACGUGC